GAGUCCCGCCCACCAUCACCACUUGACCCGCGACCUGGGGCGGGGUCGAGAAAGAAUCAAAUCCAAAAUCAGCAACGAGGACGACGACAAUAACAUGACGACGACUCAACAACAACAACGACGGCGGCGAUAAUAAUAAAGACACAGGGACAGAAACAACAACAGAACAUCAACAGCGACGACAAUAAUAAUAACCAUUCAACAACAGCGACAGCGGCGGCGGCGAUAAUAAUAAAAUAAUGAGAUUCCAACAACAGCGACGACGGCGGCGGCGAUAAUAAUAAAAUAAUGAGAUUCCAACAACAGCGACGGCGGCGGCGGCGAUAAUAAUAAAAUAAUGAGAUUCCAACAACAGCGACGGCGGCGGCGGCGAUAAUAAUAAAAUAAUGAGAUCCCAACAACAGCGACGGCGGCGGCGGCGAUAAUAAUAAAAUAAUGAGAUUCCAACAACAGCGACGGCGGCGGCGGCGAUAAUAAUAAAAUAAUGAGAUUCCAA
rnacentral:lncRNA from 1 species